GGGGCAGGCUUACCAUGCAGUCGAGGGGUAUCCUCGUUCCUGGUGUGAAACCGGUGCACGGGUGCGUAACGCGUAUGUAAUCUGUCUUUCCAUAGGGAUAGACCAGACAAAUUUGGAUUAAUACCUCAUAGGAUUAAAAAUCCGCAUGGUUAUGUCUUAACGUCACUGCGGUGAAAGAUGAGCAUGCGUCCGAUUACCUAGGUGGUAAGGUAACGGCUUACCAAGGCGACGAUGGGUAAGGGUCCUGAUGGGGAGAUCCCCCACCCUGGUACGGAGACACGGACGGGACUCAUUCGGGAGGGAGCACUGAGGAAUAUUGGUCAAUGGGCGCAAGCCAGAACCAGCCAUGCCUCGUGCAGGAUGACUGUCCUAUGGAUUGUAAACUGCUUUUGUACAGUAAGAAACACUCCGACUUGUGUGAGCUUGACUGUACCUACCGAAUGAGGAUCGGCUAACUCCAUGCCAGCCGCCGCGGUAGUACGUAGGAUCCAUCCGAUAUCCGAAAUCAUUGGGUUUGAAUGAUCCGUGGGCAGGCUUGUAAUUCAGUGAUGAAUGACCAUCGCUCAACUGUGGAACGCCGCGUGUUACUGCCUGACUUGCAUUAAUGGGCAGUAACUAGAAUAUGUAGUGUACCGGUGAAUUGCUUGAAUAUUACAUGGAAUAACCAUUGCGAGCGCAGGUUACUACCUAUGAUUUGACGCUGAUGGACGACAGCGAGGGUAGCGGACAGGAUUAGAUACCCUGGCUGUCCACGCCCGCAACUAUCGAUACUAACUGUCGGGUGCGACUUUACUGUCUAAGCGUAAGUGAUAACUAUACCACCUGGGCAGUACGAACGCACGUGUGAGACUCAAACUAAUUGAAAGUGACCCGCACACGCUAGGAGCAUGUGCAUGAAUUUGUAUGAUCGCAAGGAACCUUAUCCUUGCUCAGACGCGACUGACGCAUUUGCAUCAGAUCUUUCGCAGACCGUUUACAAGGAGCUGCGUGCUUGUCGUCAGCUCAUGGCACGAGCGUCAGGUUAUGUCUUAUAUCGAGCGCAACCCCUGAUCGUUAAUGUGCCAGCGAACUCACGUCGAGAAGCUCUAGCCAUGACUGCCAGGUGCUCACUGGCGACUAAAGAUGUGGGAUGAACGUACAGAUCAUCAAUUGCUCCUUGACCCAUUUGGGUCUAACAA
rnacentral:rRNA from 1 species